rnacentral:tRNA from 1 species
GCGGGCGUGGCGGAACUGGCAGACGCGCCGGGUUUAGGUCCCGGUGGGCCGCAAGGUCCUUGGAGGUUCGAGCCCUCUCGCCCGCA